ensembl:ncRNA C26G2.3 ncRNA
GAUUCUCAAGAGAAUCGUACAGAAAUUUAGAUCAAACGGUAGCCGCAUUAUGGAAAUAAAGCACGAUUUGUUAGCUAGCAGAUGGUGGUAAGAAUAAUGAAUACGCGUCGUCAAGGACCAGAUGAUUCAAAGUGAUAUAUUUACAUAAAAAGCUGUAUUUUAUAAUGAGCCGGGACCUCCCCCUCCCGCCAUCAUAUUGUAAAGCUCAGCCACCGAUUGCUCUAUUUCUUUUCAUUCUCUC